AGCAGGCAACCACGAGGAGGAGAGGACUCGAAGAGGACUGAGAUGUAUCGAUAUAAAUUAUAUAAAAUCUACUGUUGUAUGCUGUGAAAAGGUGGAGACUCUGAAGUGGAUGCAGCAAUGACAGAACACCUGAAGCUUGUUCCGGGAAGAGAUGGGGGUGGAGGUUACAAGAAAUGAGCCAAACAACUGUAGUGUGUUUAAGGGAUAUUUCACCCAAAAAUGAAAAUAGUCAUAAUUUUCUCACCCUCAUGUUACGAUCAUAAUAAUUUUUCCUACAGUGGCAGUUAAUGGAUUGUGAGAUCUGCUUGGUUACAAACAUUCUUCCAAAUAUCUUUGUGUUUAUGAGACAACUGUGUAAGUCAAUGACAAGAUUAAAAAAUAAUUGAUAAAAAGAAA